CUGAGUGCGGGUUCUGUUCGAGCCCAACCUCCCACCCGUGUUUACCGUGACCAUGUUGCUUUGGCGGGCCCACUAGGGCUCCCCUCUGGUCGCCGGGGGGCUCCUGUCCCCGGGCCCGUGCCCGCCGAAGCGCCUGUGAACCCUGUCUGAAUAGUGAGUCUGAGUGAGGGAUGAAUCAUUA
rnacentral:misc_RNA from 1 species